GCCUUGGCGGCUGGAACCGGCCCACCCACAGCUGGGAGGUGCCCUGUCCUUCCAGGGCUGGAGAGAAUUGGCGUUAAUUGGCAAUUCAAGAGAUACUGCAGUCCCAGGACAACUGCCACUCCAAGUCUGGAGAGACAGGUGAAGACAGAGAAUCUUAACUGAGAUCAGCUUAAGUGGAGCAGAAGCCACUGGAGCCAUAAGCAGGUUGAUGCUCUAUCCACCAAGCCAAACCAGCC